UACGAAGGGGGCUAGCGUUGUUCGGAAUUACUGGGCGUAAAGGGCGCGUAGGCGGCGUGUCAAGUCAGGCGUGAAAGCCCCGGGCUCAACCUGGGAACCGCGCUUGAGACUGGCAUGCUCGAGUUCGGGAGAGGAUGGUGGAAUUCCCAGUGUAGAGGUGAAAUUCGUAGAUAUUGGGAAGAACACCGAUGGCGAAGGCAGCCAUCUGGACCGACACUGACGCUGAGGCGCGAAAGCGUGGGGAGCGAACAGG
rnacentral:rRNA from 1 species